ensembl:lncRNA
AUGUUGAUGUUGACUUCUGAUGUUGAGAUAUCAGCUAAUAUUGUGGUAGGGAUGGAUGUUGUAGCAUAUGUUGUAGGGACUGAUGUAGUAGUAACUUCUGGUGUUGUUGUGUCCGCUAAUGUAGUGGUGGGGAUGGAUGUUGUAGAAGCAGCUAAUGUUGUAGUAGGAACAGAUGUUGUUGUGUCAGCUAAUGUAGUAGUAGGAACAGAUGUUGUAGGGAACAAUUUAGUUGUGACUUCUGAUGUUGUAGUAUCAGCUACUGUAGUAGUAGGGAUAGAUGUUGUUGCAGAUGUCGUAGGGACUGAUGUAGUUGUUAUCUCUGAUGUUGUAGAAGCAGCUAAUGUUGUAGUAUCAGUUAAUGUGGUGGUUGGGAUGGAUGUUGUUGCAGAUGUUGUAGGGUCUGAUGUGGUAGUAAUUCCUGAUGUUGUAGAAGCAGCUAAUGUUGUAGUAGGAACAGAUGUUAAUGUGUCAGCUAAUGUAGUUGUAGCAGCUAAUGUUGUUGUAGGCAUAUCUGUAGUCGUAGCAGCUACUGUAGUGGUUGGGCUUGAUGUUGGAACAGAUGUUAUAGGGACUGAUGUGGUAGUAAUUCCUAAUGUUGUAGUAACUGCUAAUGUUGUGGUAGGGAUGGAUGUUGUAGCAUAUGUUUUAGGGUCUGAUGUGGUAGUAACUUCUGAUGUUGUUGUGUCAGCUAAUGUUGUAGUAGAAAUAGAUGUUGUAGUAGGAACAAAUGUUGUUGUGUCAGCUAAUGUUGUGGUAAGGAUGGAUGUUGUGGUAGCAGCUAAUGUAGUAGUAGGAACAGAUGUUGUUGUGUCAGCUAAUGUUGUAGUAUCAGCUAAUGUAGUUGUAGCAGCUAAUGUUGUUGUAGGCAUAUCUGUAGCCGUAGCAGCUACUGUAGUGGUUGGGCUUGAUGUUGGAACAGAUGUUAUAGGGACUGAUGUGGUAGUAAUUCCUAAUGUUGUAGUAACUGCUAAUGUUGUGGUUGCGAUGGAUGUUGUUGCAGAUGUUUUAGGGUCUGAUGUGGUAGUAACUUCUGAUGUUGUUGUGUCAGCUAAUGUUGUGGUUGGGAUGGAUGUUGUAGAAGCAGCUAAUGUUGUAGUAGGAACAGAUGUAGUUGUAGCAGCUAAUGUUGUAGUAUCAGUUAAUGUAGUUGUAGCAGCUAAUGUUGUUGUAGGCAUAUCUGUAGUCGUAGCAGCUACUGUUGUGGUUGGGAUUGAUGUUGGAACAGAUGUUAUAGAGACUGAUGUGGUAGCAAUUCCUGAUGUUGUAGUAUCAGUUAAUGUUGUGUAAGGGAAGGAUGUUGUUGCAGAAGUCGUAUAGACUGAUUUAGUUGUAACUUCUGAUGUUGUCGUAUCAGCAAAUGUUGUGGUAGGGAUGGAUGUUAUAGCAGAUGUUAUAGGGACUGCUGUAGUUGUAACUUCUGAUGUUGUAGUAUCUGCUAAUGUUGUGGUAGGGAUGGAUGAUGUGGCAGAUGUUAUAGGGACUGAUGUAGUAGUAAUUUCGGAUGUUGUAGUAUCAGCUAAUGUAGUGGUUUGGCCAGAUGUUGUUGCAGAUGUUGUAGGGAACAAUUUAGUUGUGACUUCUGAUGUUGUAGUAUCAGCUAAUGUAGUGGUAGGGAUGGAUGUUGUAGUAUAUGUUGUAGGGACUGAUGUGGUAGUAAUUCCUGAUGUUGUUGUGUCAGCUAAUGUUGUAGUAGGAACAGAUGUUGUAGUAGGAACAGAUGUUGUUGUGUCAGCUAAUGUUGUUGUGUCAGCUAAUGUUGUUGUAGCAGCUAAUGUUGUUGUAGCAGCUAAUGUUGUUGUAGGCAUAUCUGUAGUCGUAGCAGCUACUGUAGUGGUUGGGCUUGAUGUUGUAGCAGAUGUUGUAAGUAUAGGUGUGGUAGUCACUUCUGUUGUAGUAACAGCUAACGUGGUUGUGGCAGGAGGAGAUUUAAUAGUUGUAGCUGUAGUUGUAGUUGUAGUUUCAGAGUCAGUUGUGUCUGUAUUGGAGGAGGAGUCAGUUGUGUCUGUGAAUGAAUCUGUUGUGUCUGUAUUGGAGGAGGAGUCAGUUGUGUCUGUGGAUGAAUCUGUUGUGUCUGUAUUGGAGGAGGAGUCAGUUGUGUCUGUGGAUGAAUCUGUUGUAUCUGUAUUGGAGGAGGAGUCAGUUGUGUCUGUGGAUGAAUCUGUGUCUGUAUUGGAGGAGGAGCCAGUUGUGUCUGUGGAUGAAUCUGUUGGUAUGUAUGGUACAGAGAUGGAUCUGGGUAAACGAGGC